UAAAACUACUGUGCAUUCUAUCCUUCAUUCCACCGGAGUCUGUGUAGUUGUUCAAUCAGAUUUCAGUGGUGUGAAGUGUAGGAAACACGGAAAGAU
rnacentral:pre_miRNA from 8 species